GAUGAAUGCUGGCGGCGUGCUUAACACAUGCAAGUCGAACGGUGAACACGGAGCUUGCUCUGUGGGAUCAGUGGCGAACGGGUGAGUAACACGUGAGCAACCUGCCCCUGACUCUGGGAUAAGCGCUGGAAACGGCGUCUAAUACUGGAUAUGUGACGUGACCGCAUGGUCUGCGUUUGGAAAGAUUUUUCGGUUGGGGAUGGGCUCGCGGCCUAUCAGCUUGUUGGUGAGGUAAUGGCUCACCAAGGCGUCGACGGGUAGCCGGCCUGAGAGGGUGACCGGCCACACUGGGACUGAGACACGGCCCAGACUCCUACGGGAGGCAGCAGUGGGGAAUAUUGCACAAUGGGCGCAAGCCUGAUGCAGCAACGCCGCGUGAGGGAUGACGGCCUUCGGGUUGUAAACCUCUUUUAGCAGGGAAGAAGCGAAAGUGACGGUACCUGCAGAAAAAGCGCCGGCUAACUACGUG
rnacentral:rRNA from 1 species